rnacentral:rRNA from 1 species
AGAGCGAACGCUGGCGGCAGGCCUAACACAUGCAAGUCGAGCGCCCCGCAAGGGGAGCGGCAGACGGGAGAGUAACACGUGGGAACGUACCCUUCAGUUCGGAACAACCCAGGGAAACUUGGGCUAAUACCGGAUACGUCCGUAAGGAGAAAGAUUUAUCGCUGAAGGAUCGGCCCGCGUCUGAUUAGCUAGUUGGUGGGGUAACGGCUCACCAAGGCGACGAUCAGUAGCUGGUCUGAGAGGAUGAUCAGCCUCACUGGGACUGAGACACGGCCCAGACUCCUACGGGAGGCAGCAGUGGGGAAUAUUGGACAAUGGGCGCAAGCCUGAUCCAGCCAUGCCGCGUGGGUGAUGAAGGCCCUAGGGUUGUAAAGCCCUUUCGGCGGGGAAGAUAAUGACGGUACCGCAGAAGAAGCCCCGGCUAACUUCGUGCCAGCAGCCGC